rnacentral:rRNA from 1 species
GACGAACGCUGGCGGCGGGCCUAACACAUGCAAGUCGAACGGAAAGGCCCUGCUUUUGUGGGGUUCUCGAGUGGCGAACGGGUGCGUAACACGUGUGUAUCCUGCCCUUGACUUUGGGAUAACUUAAGGUAACUGGGGCUACUCCCGGAUAGGAUCUCCUGCUCCAUGGUGGGCGUUGGAACUUCGCGGCUGUUGGGGAUGGACUGGCGGCUUAUCAGCUUGUUGGUGGGGUAGGUGCUUACCCAGGCUUUGACGGAUAGGCGGCCUGAGAGGGUGACCGGCGACCAUGGGACUACGAUACGGAGCAGAGUCCUAUGGGAGGCAGUAGUGGGGAGUAUUGCCCAAUGGGCGCAAGCCGGAGGCAGAAGCGCCGGGUUCGUGAUGACGGCCUGUUGGUUGUAAACCGCUUUAGCCUGUGACGCAGCGGGAGUGACGGUACUGGGUAAAGAAGCACCGGCUAACUACGUG